rnacentral:rRNA from 1 species
AGAGUUUGAUCCUGGCUCAGGACGAACGCUGGCGGCGUGCUUCAUACAUGCAAGUCGAACGCGAAUCGGUAGCUUGCUACCGAGGAAAGUGGCGGACGGGUGAGUAAUAUGUAGAGAAUCUGCCCUAGAGAGGGGGACAACAGCUGGAAACGGUUGCUAAUACCCCAUAUGAGCGUACCUGAAAUGGUAUUCUUGAAAACUCCGGUGCUCUAGGAUGAGUCUGCAUCUGAUUAGCUAGUUGGGGGUGUAAUGGACCACCAAGGCGACGAUCAGUAGCUGGUUUGAGAGGAUGAUCAGCCACAAUGGGACUGAGACACGGCCCAUACUCCUACGGGAGGCAGCAGUAGGGAAUUUUGCGCAAUGGGCGAAAGCCUGACGCAGCAACGCCGCGUGAUUGAUAAAGCCCUUCGGGGUGUAAAGAUCUGUCAGUGGGGACGAAACUUGACGGUACCCACAGAGGAAGCACCGGCUAACUCCGUGCCAGCAGCCGCGGUAAUACGGAGGGUGCAAGCGUUGUCCGGAAUCAUUGGGCGUAAAGAGUUCGUAGGUGGUUUGUUAAGUUUGGUGUUAAAUGCAGAGGCUCAACUUCUGUUCGGCAUCGGAUACUGGCAGACUAGAAUGCGGUAGAGGUAAAGGGAAUUCCUGGUGUAGCGGUGAAAUGCGUAGAUAUCAGGAGGAACAUCGGUGGCGUAAGCGCUUUACUGGGCCGUAAUUGACACUGAGGAACGAAAGCCAGGGUAGCAAAUGGGAUUAGAUACCCCAGUAGUCCUGGCCGUAAACGAUGGAUACUAG